rnacentral:rRNA from 1 species
AUUGAACGCUGGCGGCAGGCCUAAUACAUGCAAGUCGAGCGGACGAGCGGAGCUUGUUCUAUGCUUCCGUGGGCGACGGGUGAGUAAUGAACACGAAUAUAACUGGCCGUGGGGGCUAAGGUAACGUCGGGAACGCUAAUCCAGCACCGGAUAUUAGGGAGAACGUGGUGGAUCUUUGGUCCUAACGCUAUUUGCUGACACUUGGUCGGAUUAGCUAGUUGGUGAGGUAAAGGCUCACCAAGGCGACGAUCCGUAACUGGUCUGAGAGGAUGACCAGUCACACUGGAACUGAGACACGGUCCAGACUCCUACGGGAGGCAGCAGUAGGGAAUCUUGGGCAAUGGGCGAAAGCCUGAUGCAGCCAUGCCGCGUGUGUGAAGAAGGUCUUCGGAUUGUAAAACACUUUAAGUAGGGAAGAACAACAGUAAGAUAAUACCUUGCUGUUUUGACGGUACCUACAGAGAAAGCACCGGCUAACUACGUG